rnacentral:rRNA from 1 species
UACAGAGGGGGCAAGCGUUAUUCGGAAUUAUUGGGCGUAAAGGGCGCGUAGGCGGCCUGGCAAGUGGAAGGUGAAAUCCCUCGGCUUAACCGAGGAACUGCCCUCCAAACUGCUUGGCUUGAGUCCGGGAGAGGUGUGUGGAAUUCCCAGUGUAGCGGUGAAAUGCGUAGAUAUUGGGAGGAACACCAGUGGCGAAGGCGGCUCACUGGACCGGAACUGACGCUGAGGCGCGAAAGCGUGGGGAGCAAACGGG